AAUUUACGCGGGUGUUGAUCUUCAUGGUUCAGCCUUUCCUA
rnacentral:tRNA from 1 species